UUCACCAUUUUAGCACCCUGUCCUGGAGUUUCAUGGAAAGUAAAGGCAAUGAUGAGAAAUGCAUCUUAAGGCAAAACAGCUCAAAGGACGUCAGGUUUCUGAUUCUUCUUAGAACCUGGACUGCCUGUUUAAUAAAUCCAUGGGUUUUUGCUUACCCAUAAAAACAGAGUCCUGGAUUUUUGUUUGGAGGGCACCAAAAGGUUUUCUUUUAUCCAACAAAGAUGGCUGUUCGGACAAUGCCAAGGAUACACAAGGAUUUUCCAGGGGAAAAACUUCAGUUUUGAAUUUUGCAUUUAAAAAUACACUAAAUGAAUAAGUAUA